UACGUAGGCAGCAAGCGUUGUUCGGAGUUACUGGGCGUAAAGGGUGUGUAGGCGGUUAUUUAAGUUUGGUGUGAAAUCUCCCGGCUCAACCGGGAGGGUGCGCCGAAUACUGAAUGACUUGGAGUGCGGGAGAGGAAAGUGGAAUUCCUGGUGUAGCGGUGAAAUGCGUAGAUAUCGGAAGGAACAUCAGUGGCGAAAGCGACUUCCUGGACCAAUACUGACGCUCAUGUGCGAAAGCGUGGGGAGCAAACAGG
rnacentral:rRNA from 1 species